AUUGAACGCUGGCGGCAGGCCUAACACAUGCAAGUCGAGCGGUUGACGGGAGCUUGCUCCCUGAUUCAGCGGCGGACGGGUGAGUAAUGCCUAGGAAUCUGCCUAUUAGUGGGGGACAACGUUUCGAAAGGGACGCUAAUACCGCAUACGUCCUACGGGAGAAAGCAGGGGACCUUCGGGCCUUGCGCUAAUAGAUGAGCCUAGGUCGGAUUAGCUUGUUGGUGAGGUAAUGGCUCACCAAGGCGACGAUCCGUAACUGGUCUGAGAGGAUGAUCAGUCACACUGGAACUGGGACACGGGCCAGACUCCUACGGGAGGCAGCAGUGGGGAAUAUUGGACAAUGGGCGAAAGCCUGAUCCAGCCAUGCCGCGUGUGUGAAGAAGGUCUUCGGAUUGUAAAGCACUUUAAGUUGGGAGGAAGGGUUGUAGAUUAAUACUCUGCAAUUUUGACGUUACCGACAGAAUAAGCACCGGCUAACUCUGUGCCAGCAGCCGCCGUAAUAC
rnacentral:rRNA from 1 species